UCAGGUGUCAGACGUUGCUCAAUAGCUCACAAAAUAUCUUGUGCCUUCUAGGUGGUCCAAUUCCACAGUGACAGAACCAGGUCAAGAGCAAGUAUGCUGCCUCUUGUGUUGUAAAGGAAUUUAUGCAGCAGAUGGCCCAGACAGAGACCCGAAGGUACUCCAGAAUUCCUUCUACUCAGACCAAGUGGCAACCCCACCCCUGCUGUACCCAGCUGUGAAACCCAGGCUCUUCUCAGUCCAGAAGAACCACCACAAAUCAUUUCUGAAAAUGAUAUCUGUAGAAUAAAUAAAUAAAUGCCUCAAGUGAUAAUAAAGUGUUUAACAAGACAGCGAGCAUCGACAUUACAGGAGAUAUCAAAAUAUUGGGCAAAAUGAAGGGAAAAAAUGGAAAGAGGUUUACAACUUGCCCCUGCUGUAAUAACAGACACGCAUGCUGCUCCAAAUGAUGAGAUGUUAUUAAUAAAGGACGAGAUGGCUACAAAUUAAAGCAAGCCCUGCUUAAUCACAUUAAUCCAGAGCAAGUCAAAGGCUUCAAUUUUCGAAAUAAUUUUGGGCUUAAUGCCUUGGAGAUGGGCAGACUGCUCCAUUGAGGCAGCAGCUGGUCCAAUUUAAGCUGCAUUGUGAGGCCGGAAUUGUCAGGUCCUUACAGAAACAAGAAAGCCUGACAGUUUUCAGGAUGCAACCAAAACUGCUGAGACAAAGGAAAUUGCAAGAAACUGAAAGGGCCCUGUAACAAUUACAAGGCAGCCCACUGUUGGGUGGAUUAUAUAUGAUUAACCAACUCUCGCUGGGUGGCGUGCACUUACUGCGACCAUGUGCUCGGCCACUGAGCCCCAAACAGCUGCUCCAGGAGGCACAGUCAGGGAGCCACUGCUGUGGACUGCUGAUUAGAGAAAGGUAACUUGUCUAUAAAGAAACAGAGUAGCCACCACCACGGAGGUCACCCUACAUGUGUCGCCUGUUUCCCCCACAGUAACGACCGCUGCAGUGACCACCAGGAAGCCCAGACACGGAGCGAGAGGCCUGCCCAGGCACCAGUGUGUAAACACCAGCCAGUGUUGGAGCAACAGAAGGAACUUAAACCCCCAGUACCAGAGGACAGGUUUUUAGCAGUGCGAUUUCACUUUUCAUGAGCAAUUAAUGAUUUUCUAUGGAACAAAACUAAAAAAGUAGGUUAAAAACAAACGAGUUCCAGAUUGUGGGUCAAGAGGCGUCAUUUCCAACCCUAGAUGUGCAACUCUUUGUCUGUGUGAUGUUGAGGAAUCCAUGUUAAUCUCUGGGCCCUGCUUUUUUCAUGGAUUGUACUGAGGUUUCCUGUUUUGUGUCACACAGCUUAUAAGUGACAGAGUCGACCGACUGCAAGUUUCUCAUGGCAUCUCCUUGUACUUACACAUUUCCUAAUCCAUUGGGAGAUGCCAGUGCAUAGUGGUGAAGGGCACAGACUCAGGUGUGAAUCCUAGUUCCAUCUCUUGCUUUUUACUAUGACUGUUCCAAUUACUUCAAGCAGAACCUGAGAAAGAGAAUUGGACUCUUUGCUACUUAUUUCACCAAUGAACAAUAAAGAGGCUGUACAGAG
ensembl:lncRNA novel transcript